AAAAAGUUAGUUAAAUUAUAACAUUAAUAUGUCAUGUUAAAAUUAUUAGAUUAACCUAGUACUUUUUG
rnacentral:tRNA from 1 species